rnacentral:lncRNA from 1 species
AAGCAAAUGCGUAUGCUUAUUUUUGCCGGUCCCAUUGUGUCCUGUCUAUUUUUUUUUCAACCAAUAGAAAUUGGCGAGAAGUACUUGGUUUGGCUCUCAGGGGAUGACUUAUUUAUGUUCUAGCUGGAUGGAUAUGCUUAUGGUCUUAUGGACAUUACUUUUGCAAUUGAUGUUUGUUAAUUGAACUAUUUGCUGCAUAAUCGGAAAGUAAGUUUACCUCUUUAAUUGUUCUGAUGCUUAUGGCAUGCAAUCAUCCUCUGUUAUUUGAUUGCAGGUUAUUUUUGCUGCAGGUUCUGCUUCCAGUUAAUCU